rnacentral:siRNA from 1 species
AAGCAAGAUCUUCAUGGAAGUGCC